AACUAAAUUUUAUUAAAGAAAAAACGACAGUAGUAGAAAACCUUUCGAGUUUGUGGCGAGAACUGCGAAAUACGAACCCUCCAUCAGGACCCAGAUUCUCAGACCGCCGUGACUUCAUUCGUGUCUCUGUCAUUCCUCCGCCGUGAGCUCCUCCGUCGAAAGCCGCCUGAGUAUUUUCCGGCAUCACAGGCGACCGAAUUUCCUUCGCCGUUGAACAUUUCGAGUCUUCAAGGUAGUGUCUUUAUAGCAUAGAAAACAGUAUGAAUUUUGCAGCAUCAUUGUGCAGAAGAUUGAAUAUCAAGGAACUUGUGACAAAUGUUCCUGUUUACAGAAGCACUGCUGAUGUUUCUGGCGAUGGAUUGAGUUUGGUGUUCAGGCGAUGGGCUACCAAAAAGACAGCUGGUUCCACAAAGAAUGGACGGGAUUCAAAACCAAAGAACCUUGGAGUGAAGAAAUUUGGUGGGGAGAGGGUGAUACCUGGAAAUAUCAUUAUUAGACAACGUGGCACUCGUUUUCAUCCAGGAAACUAUGUUGGAAUUGGAAAAGAUCAUACACUUUUUGCAUUGAAAGAGGGCUUGGUGAAGUUUGAACGGAACAAGCUGACUGGUCGUAAGUGGGUGCAUGUUGAGCCUAAGGAAGGUCAUGUUCUCCAUCCUUUGUAUGCAGAUGCUUCUGCAUCUGAUGUAAAAGUUUCUAUCUAAGUCUCGUGUGUCAUCCAUGAAAGAAAUUUUUAUUUAGUGGAAAUUCAGCUUACUUUCUUGGCUUAUGUGAACUCCUAGAUGUUCUAGGACCAAAUGAAAUUCUCUCCAAACGUCUCUUUCACUGUGAUCAUGCAUUUUUUCAUCAAUCAACAAGAGCUGUCUUAAGUUAAAUUUGCACAUUGAAACUUGCUUGAUCUGUUGAGUUCUUUUGAAUCCCUCCUAAUUGUGGAGCAGAGCAGAGUUGAAUUUUGACAACCUGAGGUAGCACUUUAGGGAUUCAAUUAAUCAUUUGUUUAGGGUCGUAGGAGUAAUGGUUCACGAGGAACCUAAACUUACUAUCAGAAUAAUUGACUUGAUUAUGACAGCAAGUUUGCUAGCAUGCAUUUUAUUUGUUUCCAGCUGUUCACAUUGAAGCUUUGCUGUUGUUAGAUUUUAUGGUAAUUGCUUUUUCUUCUUUGCCAAUAUUUUAUUUCCAUAUCCCUAUGCUAUUCUGAAUCGGUGAUAGAAUUUGAGUUCAUCUUAUUUAAGAGAUCUCAAUCAUUGUGAUGCGUUCUAUGAAUAAAAAAUCUGGGGUUAUUUUCCUGCAGUUUCUGUAUGUGCAUUCAUGGUUAAAUUAGAAAUCUAGUUCAACUAAGCUAAAAUAAUCGGUUGCAAAGAAGCCUUCUGGUCCCUUAAAAUUAUCAUUUACUCUGCUUUUAAUUUGGAUUGAUUUACUUUUCCUAUCUAUCGAAUAAUUUGAACCGCAUAAUUUUUUAAUUUGUUUAAUCCAUGUCCAAAUAAAACUGAAAUCCACCUCCACACCAAAACAUGGAGAUUGCGCCAUAUAUUAUUCUUGCUGUAUAUUGCAUCAACAGACGUAAGAUCAUAGUCCCCUUCUGCAUUCUUUCUAUACAUAGUGUGUGUAUAUAUGAAAAUCGCUAACUUUAAGGCCCGAUGAAAUAAAGUGGAUAUUGGCAUAGACUUAGGUCCAUUAGCCUAGGUUCUCUCUCACUCUCUCGUACUCAUAUUUUGGAAAGAGGGGUGGGAUGGGGCGUUUAAUACUCGUUGGGACCUUAAAUAGUUGAAUUUGGAAGUAAGAAAUUUCAAAGGAGAUAAACAAUUCCAUGCUUUUUCUGCAUGAAUAUUAGAGUCAGUUUGGCAUCCCUUCAAUUAGGCAGUGAAACGAAGUAUUUAUAUAACCUUUUAUAUAAAGUUGUGGUUGAAAUUUUUACCCUGAUUUGAAAAUUAAGGGUAUAAACUGAUCGUAGGAGCUUAUUCUUGUUUGUUUAAUCGGAGGUGAAUUUUAUUGAUGAAAUUUCAUAUGCAACAUCUGUCAAAUUUUCACAUUUAAUUUUAAGGAUAUUACCAAAUAUACCUAAGGGGUUAAUUUAGGAGGAAGUUCUCCACGAAGAAAAAAUGUGAUCAUGGUUAGUGCUCGUUGUGGUUGGAAACUUGGAACCAUGUGCCCAGCUCCCCGUACACUGACGAGCGUGAGCCCUUUGUACCCAACCACGUAUCCUCCAACCUGCAUAUUGUACCCAAUAAGAUUACCUUGAAGUGGCUUGUAAGUUCUGAAUAUAUAGUAAUGCUUCAUUACCUCAUUGCCAGAGUACCAUGGACGCCAUGUAGUCUUCUCCGGAAGUUUCAAGGAAUUUACUGAAUACCGAGACGAUGUUAUGGGAACACGCCCAUCUGUAUCGCCACUGCAUCAUUGAAUAACAACAACAAUGUUACACAAAGCCACGAUAAUGUUUUGAAUGUAACAGAGGCAGAAAGCAAUUUAUAUACUCGAUCGAUCACCUAUAGAUCCAUGUCCUUAUACCACUUGAUAUUAACCGCUUUAUAACGGGUAGAACUGUUGCUGGGCUAUCUGUCCAUCCCACCCCACUGAAUAGAAGCAUUAGACACAUUAAUUCAGGAAAUAGAACGGUUACAAUGAAUGCAUUUUUAAAAUGCAGAGAGGAAAACAUAAGUAGAGAAUUCUGCGGACCUGCAAGCAGACCAUUUUAAUGCUUUAACAUGAAGAGCCUGUUGUACUUCAGCGAGAUUUAAGUAGGAACUGGUAUAAUCUUCAGAACAAGGGUCGAAAUUGCUUCCCUACAAUGUUGAAUAAAAAGGAAUUUCUGGCUUAGUUUUGACAAAAAUAAUAGCCAUUGAUCUUUGUGUUCUUAAUACUUUCAUCUAAAUAUUUUGUAAUUUUUUUAUUUCUGUGAACUUCCGUCCUUCCAAAUUUGUAUGAUCAUUAAUGCCACUGUCAAUUUUGGUUGUUACAUAUUAAAGGGUGUCAUAGAUCUGAUGCAUGUAGCAUGGAAAGCGAGAAGGUGGUGGAAGUUAAGUAUGUAACUGAACAUAUAUAAGAAAACGGCAAUGUCAGACUUCUCGUAACAAAAAUGCAAAAGUAGCAUGACAUGCAACUUACCGAGUAAGUGGCAGGACUAGCACCGGUUUUUCUUGCAGCUGAAUCACAAUGUGGAGCGUAUAGGUUGUAUACGUCAAUAUUUCCUAUUUCAUCCAUCCCUCUAUUUUGAUAUUGGUAGCAUUCACUUGUAAAGUUACCGCUCUGAUAGUCACAGUGUCUUUCAAUUCCUUCAUGGGUCUCAUCAGAGUUUAGAGCAUGUGUCCAAAAAUAGUCAUACAUUCCCUUUGUACAUGUAUUAUCAUCUAUCCAGCCAUUCCCGAUCUGCACCAAGAAUAGAAAUUUGAGGGCAAAGCAAAUUUAUGUUUAAAUGAAAUAAAUGGAACGUUGUACAAUGGAAAGUUUGACUCACCGCAAUCCCUUUAAGGUUGAUCACUGUGUGAUUUGUAAGCUUAUUAUUUGUAAGAAUAGUGUAAGCUAGCUGAGGAACAUAAUGGCCAGCAUAGCUUUCACCAGUUAUGAAGAAGUCUCGAGUUUU